rnacentral:rRNA from 1 species
GAUGAACGCUGGCGGCGUGCCUAAUACAUGCAAGUCGAGCGAACAGACGAGGAGCUUGCUCCCCUGACGUUAGCGGCGGACGGGUGAGUAACACGUGGAUAACCUACCUAUAAGACUGGGAUAACUUCGGGAAACCGGAGCUAAUACCGGAUAAUAUAUUGAACCGCAUGGUUCAAUAGUGAAAGACGGUUUUGCUGUCACUUAUAGAUGGAUCCACGCCGCAUUAGCUAGUUGGUAAGGUAACGGCUUACCAAGGCGACGAUGCGUAGCCGACCUGAGAGGGUGAUCGGCCACACUGGAACUGAGACACGGUCCAGACUCCUACGGGAGGCAGCAGUAGGGAAUCUUCCGCAAUGGGCGAAAGCCUGACGGAGCAACGCCGCGUGAGUGAUGAAGGUCUUCGGAUCGUAAAACUCUGUUAUUAGGGAAGAACAAAUGUGUAAGUAACUAUGCACGUCUUGACGGUACCUAAUCAGAAAGCCACGGCUAACUACGUG